GCUUUAGAAAAUUUCGUAAAGUCUUAAAGCCGAACAGGAAACAGUGGGGCCGGCGAAUAGCGGGGGCGGAUGUGGUCCGGGUUUCGAGAAAUGUGCGAGAUUGCGUAAGGCGGAAGCGGCGCAUUUAAUGCGCGCCAGACCGUAGUAUACGUAUGUCAAGAAAUACGCGGGCGGCUAUUGUAUAGGAGGGGCAUUUUGGUCAGGCGGCGGAAAAAGCGGACCGAAUCUGCAAAAACGAAAAAGGUGGCCCGGUUUUGCAAAAGCCCAAAAUAAGU
rnacentral:lncRNA from 1 species